GAUGAACGCUGGCGGCGUGCCUAAUACAUGCAAGUCGAGCGAAGCGGGGACGGGUGAGUAACACGUUGAUAACCUCCUAUAAUCCUGGUAUAACUUCGGGAAACCUGCGCUAAAACGGAUACUUAUCGCUGGAUCUUCUCUGCAUUAGCUAGUUGGUAAGGUAACGGGUUACCAAGGCAACGAUGCAUAGCAGACAUGAGAGGUUGAUCGGCCACACUGGAACUGAGACACGGUCCAGACUCCGACGGGAGGCAGCAGUAGGGAAUCUUCCGCAAUGGGCGAAAGCCUGACGGAGCAACGCCGCGUGAGUGAUGAAGGUCUUCGGAUCGUAAAACUCUUUUAUUAGGGAAGCGGUACCUAAUCAGAAAGCCACGGCUAACUACGUGCCAGCCGCCGCGGUAAUUC
rnacentral:rRNA from 1 species